GUGUUUUGUAAAUCAGCCGAGCAUGUAUACUAAAGUUAGAACAAUACUGAGAUGAGAAUGGCUCUUGCACAAUGAUGACAUGCAGAUUUAUGAAACAAUUCAUAUUUUU
ensembl:snRNA U6 U6 spliceosomal RNA